GCUAUAUAUAUUUUGGCGGUUCUAGUGAUUAUGGCGGUUUUAACUGCCGUUUUCACACACAUAUAAAAGGAAAAAAAUUCUAAUCCCUGACUCAUUCAACGCCAUUCUUCGUUCUAGCUAGGGCUUCUCCUCUCUGAAGUCUGAACAAACGACGCUAUCAUCUCCUCCGUGUAAAGAAGCUCUCCGACAACGCCGUUCUUCCUUCUAGGGCUUCUCCUCUCUCCGCCGGUUACGAUCUCUCCAGCUCUGUUAGGGAUUUUUGGGUCUUCCGUUGAAGUAUUGAUGUUGGUACAGGGUGAUUGACGAUGAUCUCAGGGGCUAGAACUAUUAACACAAGAAAAUAUUUAUAUCAGCCAUGUGACAUUCAUAAUCAUUGAUAGAUAGAGUGAGCUGGUUCAAGAAACAAGCUAUCUUUGUGUGCUGUUGACAAAUUACCAAUUAUCCCUACUGCACUAGAAUUAAUUGGGAUACUAUUUACUACGUGGUUUACAUAUCGAUAUCUCUUGUUCAAGCCUGAUUGGUUAAGGCAUUGACAGGCCAAUUUCCUGCUGCUAUUCCACUUGCUUUGGUACUGAAACAAUUUUUGGCAGACUGGAGCCUUGAUCAGUCCUACUCUGGUGGCUUAAGCUCGUAUUGUUUGGUUUUAGAUCUUCUUCAACUCUUGCUGCUAGCUACUUUACUUUGAAAAAAGAAGGAAAAUUAUCAUUUGAAAGAGGGAUUGGAUCAAGAGAGUGAGAUUCCAUCACCAAGAGAGUUAG